UCAGAGUGAAACAUAAAGAACAGUGAGGGAGUGAAGAACAAGAGAAGCUUAAAAAUGGAAGAUGGUGGGAGCAAGUCUGAGGAUAUCUUCGAUUAAGGUCCUUGAGAACCAGUCGGGCCUUGUUGCCCAGGUGGACCCUAAAACCAGGCCGGGCAUGCCCUUGGAAAAGUCAACACACAUGCGGGAUUAGAGGAUUAGAGUGUACAACACAAUGUUCUCCCUUCCUUUUCACUUCAAUGAUCUGCAACCUGACCGGUGUCCAAA